ensembl:lncRNA
CUAUUCUAUUCUAUUCUAUUCUAUUCUAUUCUAUUCUAUUCUAUUCGAGACUUGUCACAGCACUUGUAUACUGUUGUUCUCUUGUUGCUCUGAUUGCUUUUGUUUCGCUUUUGGAUAAAAGCGUCUGCUAAAUGCAUAAAUUUAAUUUAAUUCAAUUUAAAUCAAUAUUGUCUAUUGGCUCUUAAGAAGGCUGAGAGUGUGCGUUAAUGACCACCGUCAGCUCGCACAGUGGAAUCAGUGGCUUUGAAACCCUGUUCAGACGCUGCGCAACCCUCAUAAACCUGCACACAAGCAGUUGCUGACCUGUUGUAAUUCUGUCAAUCCCUACAUGGCAUGCAGAAAUUGGCGCAAAAAAAAACUUUAAUAGUAGAGAAGGCUCUGCCCUUAUUUAAAAGUUCUUGCAGAAAACAUAACACCUCUGCCACCGAACAGUGAAAAAUAACAAUGUGCCUUUGGAACACAUUUCAUUUGCCAUCAUAUGCAGAGUGUGUUGAAGCCGCUCUCGCAUUCUUAAUCGCUUCAGUCACCCUCGGAGGCAAACCUGUAACACUUAAAUCCAACCUCUCACGGGCCUGGCCCAAAGAGCCACUUUGUCCAGUGCCGGGUGAAAAAUUUCUCCAUUCGCUUGUGAGAGAAGGUAUCUGCGCAACAGGAGAGGCCAAGGCCGAUCGUGCAGGAGCUGGAUUAUCUCUUUCAGCCACAACUUCCCAGGCCAGUUCAGGGUGAUCAGUAUUGCUGAGUGACCAUACUCUCUUACUCUUUUUAGAGUUGGUACGAUCAGACUCAGUGGAGAAAAUCCAUAAAGCAGUACGCUUGACCAUGGGUGAGCCAAAGCAACCACACCCAUGGGUGCACCAUCUCUCGCCAGAGAAAAGAAUAGAGGGCAAUGAUUAUUUUCCAAAGAGGAGAAGAUCGUCCAAAUAAGCUGACACUCUGAGACCCACUAUUCUCAGCGGUGUUAGAGCCACCUCGACACAUUUUGUGAAAGUUCUUGGGGCUUAAGCCAAACUGAAUAGAACUGUCAAAAAUUCGUAGGCUGUGCCCUGAUAGGCAAACCUGAGGAAGUCAUGCUGGCUGUCCUCCCGUGGCACCACCCAAAUUACCAUUUUGCUCAAUAAAGAGAUUAUUUCCUCCUCUAAAAUCCGAGCUGACUCCCCUUCUGGUGUUGACAUUAACACACUGUUGAAAAGUGGAGGUUUUACAGCAAACUGCAGACGAUAACCCUGUUCAACUGUUCAAUUGUGGAUAAUACCCAAGGGUGUACUGCGC